rnacentral:rRNA from 1 species
GACGAACGCUGGCGGCGUGCUUAACACAUGCAAGUCGAGCGGUAAGGCCCUUUCGGGGGUACACGAGCGGCGAACGGGUGAGUAACACGUGGGUGACCUGCCUUUAGCUCUGGGAUAAGCCCGGGAAACUGGGUCUAAUACCGGAUAUGACUCCAUGACGCAUGUUGUGGGGUGGAAAGCCUUGUGCGGCUGAGGAUGGGCCCGCGGCCUAUCAGCUUGUUGGUGGGGUGAUGGCCUACCAAGGCGACGACGGGUAGCCGGCCUGAGAGGGCGACCGGCCACACUGGGACUGAGACACGGCCCACGACUCCUACGGGAGGCAGCAGUGGGGAAUCUUGCGCAAUGGGCGAAAGCCUGACGCAGCGACGCCGCGUGAGGGAUGACGGCC